rnacentral:rRNA from 1 species
GCUAGCUAUCAAGUGGUUCAAUUCUCUCAACAACUUCUACAGAAACUAGCUGUCGCCCCUUCAUCCGACAGUAAAUUUUCUCUUAAAAAUGGGCUGAUCUGCACUAAGGGAUGUCUCUGGGUGGGUGCAGAUGCUGGUUUGCACUCUAAAAUCAUCCAAGCUUUUCAUGAUUCUCCAUUGGGUGGGCACUCAGGUUUCCCUGUCACAUAUCGACGUAUUCGUCAGCUCUUUCGUUGGUCUCAUAUGAAAUCCAUCGUCAAGCAGUAUGUGCAGCAUUGCACUGUUCGUCAGCAAGCUAAACCCGAGCGAGUUCCGUAUCCUGGCCUUUUGCAACCCUUACCAAUACCAAGUCUACCAUGGGAAAUGGUCACAAUGGAUUUUAUAGAAGGCUUGCCAUCUUCAGGGCAUUUCAAUUGCAUCCUAGUGGUCAUUGAUAAGCUAUCAAAAUAUGGUCACUUCAUACCCUUGCAGCAUCCCUUCACGGCCUUGGUCGUGGCAGAGGCUUUUCUGAAUUUUGUCUACAAGCUGCAUGGUAUGCCCUUGUCCAUUGUCUCUGACCGUGACCGCAUUUUCACCAGUUUGUUUUGGAAAGAGCUGUUCCAACAAACACAAGGGACACAACUGCGAAUGAGCUCAGCCCGCCACCCACAAUCAAAUGGUCAAACCGAACGUGUAAAUUAG